UUGAACUAACAAUGCCCCAUUAUUAGUGUAUGAUUGAACUAUUACGGUGUAACGUGUGCCCGACAAUACGUUUUCAUGAAAGCUCGGUGGCGAUGACAUAACGUGAAGGUUCGGCAGUGAAAAUGAAACAAUGACCACACAAUGCCGAUGGGUUGAUUCGAGUGUGCAAUUACCGUGUUGGCUAGCGCGCAUAAAAGCGUGCCGCUACGCUUUGUGAACGGUGAUAAUUCAGCGAAUGCAGCUGGAGCGCCUAUGACAAAAGGCUUUAGACAGCGAAAACUGUCAGGGUGCCGCUUUCCGCGUGCUGCCUCAUUUAGAGAUUUGGCACUCUCCGUUUCCUCUUCAGAUUUUCACAGCUUAUUCAGGGGGUCCCUCUCUUCCUGGAUGACCCUGUGAUUUGAACAGAAUAACCAGGUGUUAGCAUGACAGCGGGCUGAUUAGGGGACAUCCUGUUUCUGUGAGAGAGCUAAUGAGCCAACACGAAAGGCCAGGCCUGGUCUGAGGACUCUGGAUUAUCUUCAAGGAGCUGGAAUGAAAAUCGUGCUGCAAAAAUGUAUUCAGAACUCUCGUCUUAGCUCAUGGUCACAGAUGAAAUUCGCUUGUGCGUUUGUUUCUACACUUCACUCCAUGCUGGCUGCUUCCUCUGGAGAUCUGAAUGAAAGCGCCCAGAGUAUGACGCUCUCUUGGCCACACUCGACACUUCUUUUAAGAUGUUCAUCUUCCAAGGGUCAAAGGUGAACAAGUCCUGCUAAUGAGUAUGCAAGUGCUUUAAACGCACUACUGAGGGAAUAACUUACG